GGGCAAUCGUCCUGGCCUCUUUCCACUUCCCCAAAAGCCCAAUAUAAGGACUGCCUCUGGGACCCAAUAAUCAGAGAAACCAAGAGUGAAGACUUCAGACUCUUGAGAGGAGCUGUGCAGACACAGUGAGCAGACCCACGGCCUGAAGUGAAUCUGUGUCCCUGCCCAAGAACGAGUGAUUAUGAAACUCCCCCUGUUCCUGCUGCUCCUCCUGCUGGAGACAGUUGCUGCUCUUCAUUUGAGGAAUGAUGCCCCCUAUCUGGACAGCCAAGAGUCACAGGCUGACCUGAGCCAGGAUCUGGAAGGCUCAGGGGAGCAGGAGGGAGAGUCAGUACUGACUGAGGAGGGGAUUCAGUCUGAAGGAGAGCAGGAGGAGGCUUCCAACUGCCAAGAUGCCUUUGAGGACAAGAAGGCCAUGGAGUCAGAUCCCGGUGCCCUAGAUGAGAACUUCCAGUGCCCCAGGGAAGAGGACACAGUGGAAAUAAGUGGCAGCCCUGGGUGCAAGACCUGCCGCUACAAGUUGGUGAAGACUCACAGAGUAUUUGCAGUCGCUCAGAACACCUGCAGGAGGUGCUACAAUGGCAACUUGGUCUCUAUCCACAACCGCAGUGUCAACAAUCAACUCCAGUGCUUGUCUGGUCAGGUCAAUGAUUUCUGGGUCUGGAUUGGAGGAAUCGUCAAGGACCCGUGCUCCACGAUACACUGGGUUGAUGGGAGCAGUGCAAAUUUUCGCCACUGGGCUCAUCAGCGUGGGAGCGGCCACUGUUUGGGCCUAUCCACCAGAGGAGGUCAUUGGCGACGAGAAUGUUGUGAAAGACGUCUGCCUUUCAUCUGCUCCUUCUAAGCCAGUGGCGUUGAAGAGAUCCUGCCUUGGUGUCCCCUCCCUGCAUCCCUCCUGACUGCCCCUGGCCCACCCUGGACCCUGUGCUGGACUCCCUGCCUCUCCUGGUCAUAAAGCUAUGUUUCCCACCGCA